rnacentral:lncRNA from 1 species
AGAAAGGUAAUGCACUGAGGCUAAGAUGAUAUUUUUUACGGAAAGUUUCAUACAUGUUGUUUUAAGGAACAAAUUGAUUGGUUAUUUGGCAAGGCAAUGAGGUGUUCUGUGCAAAAAGAAUUGAUGGUGUAUAAAGUCCCUCUGUGUUCUGAUUUUUCCUGUUCUGGUCCCUUUAAAUAAUUGUUUUGCACAGAAUGCCUUUUACUGAAGCCAUGACUACUCAUGUUCUUUACUUAUGAUCAUAUGGUCAAAAGGGAAUCCUAGCCUCACCGUGUUCCUUUUAUUGAAAUGCGUUGGAAAUUAUGAAUAUGGUCACUAUUUCUUUAGUGUUCUUGUUUUUUCAUGAUCUUCAUCCUUCUUUUCCUAUAAAAAGAAAGGUAAUGCACUGAGGUUAAGAUGAUUUUUUUACGGAAAGUUUCAUACAUAUUGUUUUAAGGGACAAAUUGAUUGGUUAUUUGGCAAGGCAAUGAGGUGUUCUGUGCAAAAAGAAUUGAUGGCAUAUAAAGUCCCUCUGUUUUCUGAUUUUUCCUGUUCUGGUCCCUUUAAAUAAUUGUUUUGCACAGAAUGCCUUUUACUGCAGCCAUGACUUCUCAUGUUCUUUACUUA